AGUUUAGGGGUGGGUGCAAAACGGAAAGCCCGAAGCUCUUGGUGGCCUCUGAUGAGAUCCUAAUGGUGGAGCAUCUCCCUGGGUUCGCCGUUUUAUGUUUUUCAAGAUUUUUUUGAUGUGGACCAUUUUUUAAAAUCUCUUGACUUUGUUACAGUACUGUUUCUGCCAUCACAUUCCGGUUUUCUGGCCACAAGGCGUGUGUGAUCUGAGCCCCCAACCACGGAUCGAACCUGCACUCCCUGCAUGGGACACGAGGAGUUCUGACCACUGGCUGGCCAGGGCAGGGUCCCCAACUGCUCCAGGUUCGUCUCACACGACCCUCACACAGGUCUAAACCACCAUCCCUUCCACGCUCCUUUUUCUCAGGCAAGGCUGCCCGUAUCAAGUUCUGCAUGAAUGAAGAGAGGCGUCUUUCACCCCCCACUUGCCUCCUGGUUCAAAAGGAACUCCUAAAAUAGCAGCAGCAUUCCAGCUGCAGCCUGGCAGGCGGCUUGCACACGUCCCAUCCUUGCUCCCCGGGCCCGAGAGAGGUUGGAGAGCUCAGCAAAAUUUUUAUGUACGGGAGCGGGCCCAAGGAAAACUCAGCCGCCAUAACCAAUUGUGGACAGGGGGGUCAUCUAUCAGCAGACAAAUGCAGGAACUCCAGGAUGUCUCUCCUCAAAUGAAAUAAUAUAUCUUUGAAAGCCAAUGCCCGUUUUAGGCCCGAGGCCCAUAUAUCAAGGCUGAGCGGCUGGUGGAAUCGCUCCAGGGCCAUUAACCUUCCACCUGUUUCCCCUUGUCCUUCAGGAUGAGACCCUGCCCUUGGUUUUACUCCCUUCCCCUGUUCAUCUUCCGACAGAGUGUAAAUGUGAAGCAGCGGGCCUGUGAAAUAAUUCAAGAGCAAUGGACCAGGCGCACGGUUACAAAUCUCUGCCACUGGCACUGUGACUUAUGCAGGCAGUUUGUCACACAUGAGCCAGGUGACCUCUGUGACAUAACAGAGAAAAAUACCGCCGGAGAUCAAAGCCGGGAUGUGGAGCUCUGCGGACUCUGCUCCACGGACGGGGCGGGCUAUCUCGGACCCCAGCGUGUCCCACAUGCCAAUAACAUCUGCUCCAGAGGGUACGGAAGGGAGGGCGGGGUGCCCUCAUCGGGAUUGCUGCUGUCAAGGGGAGCGGGGGGCUUUCCUGUAACAUCGGGACUAGAAUUUCUGUGUUCUGGAGAAUGCCUUAGACUGGCUGGGAGUGCCAAGAGGAGGCAACAUCCAUCUAUCUAAUUUGACCUGAAUGCAGAGAAGUUAAUAGAAUUCGAAAAAUGUAAAAGGGCGCCCGUGAGGAAUGUGCUUGAGAACUUAAACACUGUGGCUGUGACGAUAAAAGCAAAGUUUUACUGAAGCUUAUAAAUUUGCUGGGUGAAAGAAGCAGGUAGCCAUCUGGGUAAAUUGUUCCUAACCAAAGAAGAAAAUGGCUCAAAAAACCAAACCAAACCCAAACAAAAAAAACUCAGAAAAGAACAGGAAUCUGGAAAAGUAGGUAGUUCGUUCUCAUUUCACAAAAUAAAUUCAUUUUAGUAAGAACCAACUGCACAGCACAGGAAACCCCACUCAGCACUCUGCAAUAACCUAUAUGGGAGAAGAAUCUAGAUAAGAGUGGAUAUAUGGAUGCGUAUACCGAUUCAUGUCGCUCUACACUUGAACUACAACACUGUGAAUCAACUGUGCUCCAAUAAAAAAUUUUAAAACUA